ACGCAGAUUUUGGAGGGAAUUUUUUUCUUUUUUUCCAGUAUCUAGCUUCUUAACUGUACACCCGAUGUCAUGCCUCUCAAUAUCCUAGCUCCCUCCCAGAUAAGGCCCAAGUCAUCCUCACGCUUUCUGUUGGAAGAGACAUUUCGGCGAAAGACACUUAGACUGGUGAUGCUAGAACAUUCUGUUGAGCGAAGACAUGGAUGGCUACCAACCAAGUCACCAUCUAGCUGACACACGUUCCCUUGAAGGGUGGGAUAAGCCCCGGCUCAUGGGCACAUUCCAAUCCAAGCGGACAAACACCAAGUUGCGAUCGGAAUUUACGCGUAAAUAUAAUGGCGCAACCCACCCAG
rnacentral:sRNA from 1 species